rnacentral:lncRNA from 1 species
UUAGACUAUGAAAAUGAUGGCAGACAAAAAGCAAAUUUUUUACUUGAGCUCAAAAUGGGUCGUAAAGCAGCAGAGACAACACGCAACACUGACAAUGCAUUUGGCUUAGGACUGCUACUGAAUGUACAGUGCAGUGGUGGUUCAAGAGGUUUUGCAAAGGAGAGGAGAGCCUUGAAGGUGAGGCGUGUUAGUGACCUGCCACUGGAAGUUGACAACAGCAAAUUAAGAGCAAUCUUCAAAGCUGGUCUUCUUACAACUACGUGGGAAGUUGCUGAGGAACUCAACAUCAACCAUUCUAUGGUCACUCAGCAUUUGAAGCAUAUUGGAAAGGUGAAAAAGCUUGGUAAGUGGGUGCCCCCUGAGGCAAAUAAAAAAAAAAAUCAUCGUUUUGAAGUGUCAUCUUCUCUUAUUCUAGCAACAAUAACGAACAAUUUCUUGAUUGGACUGUGAUGAGCAACGAAAAGUGGAUUUUAUACGAUAACCGAUGA